rnacentral:rRNA from 1 species
AUACAGAGGGGGCAAGCGUUAUUCGGAAUUAUUGGGCGUAAAGGGCGCGUAGGCGGUGAUGUAAGUGAGAUGUGUAAUCCCCGAGCUUAACUUGGGAACUGCAUCUCAGACUGUGUCGCUAGAGUACUGGAGAGGGUGGUAGAAUUCCACGUGUAGCGGUGAAAUGCGUAGAGAUGUGGAGGAAUACCAGUGGCGAAGGCGGCCACCUGGACAGUAACUGACGCUGAGGCGCGAAAGUGUGGGGAGCAAACAGGAUUAGAUACCCUGGUAGUCCACGCUGUAAACGAUGAACACUUGGUGUGGUGGGAGUUGACCCCUGCCGUGCCGGAGCUAACGCGAUAAGUGUUCCGCCUGGGGAGUACGGUCGCAAGGCUGAA